GGUCCGUUGGUCAAGGGGUUAAGACACCGCCUUUUCACGGCGGUAACACGGGUUCGAAUCCCGUACGGACUAUCA
rnacentral:tRNA from 33 species